AACAAAGGCAAUGGUUUUGGAAAUGUAUUAACUUUCGUUCUAAGAUCCACCAUGAUCUUUUAGUCUGACCUCCUGUAUAACAUAGUUCAUAGGAUUUCAUUCAGUAAUUCCUGCUUCAAACUCAAUAACUUCUGGCUGAGCUAGAGCACAUCAUGUUGAAAGAUAAGAUUUCGAUUUAAAGACUUCGAGUGACAGAGAAUCUACGGCACCUGUAGGCUCCUGGCAACCAGAGUCAGCAACACAGAAAUCAUCAUGUAAAGAACUGGUCCUGACUGCACUUCCAUUCUUGGGUCAGGAAACAUUGUAUCCAUGAGAUGCUGGUGGACACUUUGGUAAUGUUUCCUGACGUACUGAAGACAAGAGGAUGACAAUACAGACAUGGAAGUCUCGGACUGUCUUUGAUGUGGCUUGAUAUAGCUGCUGCUGCCCCCUAUGGAGACUAGCACUUCUGGAACAAAGCCAUAAGCAAAGACUCAUGGGAUUCUAUCAUCAUGAUAGAGACCUGAAAUGACCAGCACUGGUUCCAGAACAUUCACAUGAGGCAAGUUACAUAUAUGGAGCUCUCUGAGCUGCUUGCCCCAGCUCUCCAGUAUGAAGGCACACACUUGAGGGAAGCCAUGCUGGUCAGAAGUGGGUUACUAUAACCACCUGGAAGUUGGACACCUCAAACAGAUGAGGCACCAAUCUGGGAUUUUCUAACAGGAAGCGCCAGGAUCCAGAACCUCUGAAACAGAAGGAAGAGAUCAAGGAAUGACCUCUUCAGUAUGCAGAUGGAGAUGCUGGAGCCAUCCAGGCUCAGAAGCAGAUUGCAGUUUAGAGUUUGCUAGAGUAACCCUUCUGCCAGGUGGCACCAGCAACAACCAGGGCUGCACCCAAUAUCUAGGGUUCCUUUCCAUCGAUACAGUUAGAAUUGGCUCUGGCCUCCACCCAGUAACCUGGGAAAUUUAUACACCGCUUUUGGGUGCCUCUGAGAGGUGCUACCUCCUUACUCACAAGCAGACUCUGGGUGCACAAAAUAAACUUUUAAUAAAGAGAGGGAAGUAACUCCAGAGCAAGACAUAUGAUUUGAUGUUGCCUUCUCUAACAAAGGUAAUAUCGAAUAAUACAAUAAUCUAUACUAGUGAUCACCAACCAGUAGAUCCCGAUCUACUAGUAGAUCUUGGAGCCUCUGACAGGUGAUCCUGACUGGUUUGGCCAGGAAGCUAUGAAGCACUAGCACUUCAGUUUACCCUCCACCCACUGUCCUGCUG